rnacentral:rRNA from 4 species
UUAAAGGAAUUGGCGGAAGGGCACCACCAGGAAUGGGGCCUGCGGCUUAAUUUGACUCAACACGGGAAAACUUACCCGGCCCGGACACAGGAAGGAUUGACAGAUUAAGAGCUCUUUCUUGAUUCUGUGGGUGGUGGUGCAUGGCCGUUCUUAGUUGGUGGAGCGAUUUGUCUGGUUAAUUCCGAUAACGAACGAGACUCUAGCCUACUAAAUAGACGUUCCGAUCCCUAUCAGUCGGACGUUCUUCUUAGAGGGACAAGCGGCGUUUAGCCGCACGAGACAGA